rnacentral:SRP_RNA from 1 species
GCUGGGCUGAACACUGAUGACUGAGAACUGUGAACUCCGCCAGAGCCGGAAGGCAGCAACGGUAGCAGACCUCCAGGGUGUCAGUGGGAAGCCCUUUCUU